ACGUCGACGAAGACGAAAACGACGACGACGACGACGCCGACGAAGACGAAAAAGAAGAAAACGACGACGUCAACGACUACGCGUUGCUGUUCUUGGUGCGCGAAUCAAAGAGUCGUUCUUUGAACGAGACCCACUGACCGACCUAUCGACUCUCUCAUCUACUAACCGAGCACCGUUUUUCUUCUCUCUCUCUUCUUUCUCCCCUCUUCUUCUUUCUAUCCGUCCACCCGUUUGGAAACAACCCUCCACGUCGUCAUCAACGUCGUCAUCAACGUCGUCAUCGGCCCGUCGUCGUGUUGGUUUAUCGUCCUCGUCACCAGGACGUUAUCCUUCUUUCCUUCCUUCCUUCCUUCUUUCCUCCCUCUUCCCUUCCCUUCCCUUCCUACUCCUUCUACCUAUAGUCACCCUUCACCUCUCUCUCUUCUAUCAUCUACCACGCUCGGGUAUUCCUUUUGAUAUCGGGUGCGUCGAACCUUUCGAAGGACCUCCAUUGACCAGUUCUACGUAAAACAAACAACAACAACAACAACUACAAGAACAGAAAAAAGGAUAUCAAAUAAAAGCUGCCCAGGAAUAAUAAUAUAAACCACAGGCAGAGUAACUUGGAAUUAUACUCUGUUAUCGAACGUAAUCGAUGUCACGUUAUUCGAGAUCGUUAGAUCACCGUGUUCAUUGGAACAACUCCAUGCCUUCUUCUGAUAAUUCGAACUCAUUGAUAUCUUGUUGUUGUCAUAGUUACGAGUAUCGAGAACCGCGUGAAAUCAAUUGUCGCGGUAAAUCGAGAAUAACCAGAAGGAAUGUAAUAAUAAAAGAUAAAGAAGAAGAAGAAGAAGAAGGUUUUAGCAUCGUAGGAAGAAAUAUAAGGACGACAACAACAACAAUAAGUUCGCUAUUCGCGACAAUCCUCCUGUUGGCAUGGCGUCGAGAAUUAGCAACAAGGAUCUCGUUUACUUCAUUGAACAACUGACGUUGUUGUCGUCGUCAUCGUCACCGUCAUUGCCAUCGUCAUCAUCAUCGUCAUCAUCAUCGUCAUCAUCAUCAUCGUCAUCAUCGUCAUCAUCAUCAUCGUCGUCGUCGUCGUUGUUGUUAUUAUCCUUCGCGAGAUCGACGACUCCUCCUUAUCGUCGUUGCGUUCAACGAUAGGUCGGUCGAGCAUGUCGAGUUACCAUCGUGUGCUGCCUCCUCUAUCGAUCGUUUGUUCGUUAAAUUAUUAAACACACGCAUGUACACACACACAUAGACAUACAUAUUCGUCGUCGUUUACGAAGAAACAUAAGAGAAAAAGUCUGAUUUCGCAACAACAACAAUAACAACAACAACAACAACAACAACAACAUUAACAUCAAGAAGAAGAGGAAGAAGAAUAAGAGCAAUAGACACGACUUUAAUACCUAACCCCCAAGUGAUAGGAAAUCCAAGAGCCAAAGGGUUACGGAACGUGUCAGACUGACAUCGAGACAUUAAGGGGAAACUGUCGUCGCGAAAAACUUUAAGUAUUCACGGACUAGCGCGCUAGGUCGACCGUGAAAACCAUCGUGCCGCUUUAAAAUCGUCGUAGUCGAGUACGAUCGGUGUGUUUCCGUUUUUAUAUUUUCUUGUCGGUCCCACGAACGGAUACGAACAAAUUUCCAGAGAAACAACAAGAACAACAACAACAGCAAAAUAUGUAUCCCGCGUUAAGAGAUAUUUCUUUCUAUUAAUCGAUUAACUGAUUAGAAGAAGUAAUAAAAAAGUAUAAGCAAAAGAAGACAAGAAAUAAAAUUAAAGAAGAAGCGAACAAAAGUAAAAUGGCAGAGAGCGCGGCUAGUCCAGGUAGCGUGCAGGUCGCUGCCAAUAGCCCGCAGCAACAACAGCAACAACAGCAACAGCAGCAACAGCAGACCCAGCAACCACCGGAUAUAAGCAGUUCGCAGUUAGCCUCACCACCGAUCACGGGAACAGCCCAGAUCGAGAUAAUCCCGUGCAAGGUGUGCGGCGACAAGAGCAGCGGAGUUCAUUACGGUGUGAUCACCUGCGAGGGUUGCAAAGGUUUCUUCAGGCGGUCCCAAUCGUCUGUAGUCAACUACCAAUGUCCGCGGAACAAAAACUGCGUGGUCGACCGUGUAAACAGAAACCGGUGCCAGUAUUGUCGUUUGCAAAAGUGCCUACGCCUCGGCAUGUCCAGAGAUGCCGUUAAAUUCGGGCGUAUGUCAAAGAAACAGAGGGAAAAGGUCGAGGAUGAGGUCAGGUUUCAUAGGGCACAAAUGAGAGCGGCCUCUGAAACGGCUCCCGACAGCAGUGUGUUCGAGCAUCAAACGCCCAGCAGUUCGGAUCAGCACCACCCUUACAACGGCGGGUACCCGUACGGUGGAAGCGAGUACGCAUCACCCGGACCCGGUACGGGUGGUUCAGGUUAUUACAAUCAUCAAGCGAUGACGAAUUACGAGCUGAGCGCCGAUUACGUCGACAGUACGACGACCUACGAUCCUAGGCCGACGCAGACGCAAGUGGCGGACACCGUUGCACCAGACACACCCUCAGCAGUCACGGCAACUGGAGUAUUACCCAGUGUGGUCACCACCGAUCCGGCACAGAUAAGCGAGCUGCUCUCGAAGACGAUAGCGGACGCACACGCGAGAACGUGCCUGGUGUCGACGGAACAAAUACAGGAGUCAUUCCGGAAGCCUCACGACAUAUCCAGAUUGCUCUAUUACAAGAACAUGGCGCACGAGCAACUUUGGCUCGAAUGCGCGCAAAAGUUAACCACUGUUAUCCAGCAGAUCAUCGAGUUCGCUAAGAUGGUCCCUGGAUUUAUGAAGCUCUCCCAGGACGACCAGAUUGUUUUACUCAAGGCCGGUUCCUUCGAGUUGGCUGUGCUACGAAUGAGCAGGUACCUCGACCUCGCGCAAAAUUGCGUCCUGUACGGUGACACGAUGUUACCCCAAGAUGCAUUCUACACGACGGACACGGCGGAAAUGAAGUUGGUUUCCUGCGUGUUCGAACUUGCUAGAAGCGUUGCCGAAUUGAAGCUAACCGAAACGGAGUUGGCGCUUUACAGCGCGGCGGUAUUACUAAGUCCUGAUCGACCGGGAUUGAAGGGAUUGGCGGAAAUAACGAGGCUUUAUCAAGCGGUGAUACGUGCACUGAGGUCGGAGUUGGACCGGAAUCACGUGUCACCGAUAAAAGGGGACGUAACCGUGUGCGACGCGAUCCUCGCUAAGAUUCCCCAACUGCGUGAGAUCUCGCUCUUACACAUGGACGCCCUGGCAAAGUUCAAACGGUCGCAACCGCACCUCGAGUUUCCGGCCCUUCACAAAGAGCUUUUCAGCGUCGACAGCUGAACGAUCGACGCGACGCAGGGCGUCCCGACGCUGACAAACAAAGCGGAACGCGAAUAGCGCGGGGCCUUGCUCUGUCGAGAUAAUUUCCUUCGUAAAGAACGUAUUGGGCCUUAAAUAAACAUAAAAUUGUUAUAUAUAAAGUAUACAAA
rnacentral:misc_RNA from 1 species